UCGGGAAUAUUGCGCAAUGGGGGAAACCCUGACGCAGCCAUGCCGCGUGUGUGAAGAAGGCCCUAGGGUUGUAAAGCACUUUCAAUUGGGAGGAAAAGCUAAUGGUUAAUAACCAUUAGCCCUGACGUUACCUUUAGAAGAAGCACCGGCUAACUCCGUGCCAGCAGCCGCGGUAAUACGGAGGGUGCAAGCGUUAAUCGGAAUUACUGGGCGUAAAGCGCGCGUAGGCGGUUUUUUAAGUCGGAUGUGAAAGCCCCGGGCUCAACCUGGGAACUGCAUCCGAUACUGGAUGACUAGAAUGCGGGAGAGGGAGGUAGAAUUCCAUGUGUAGCAGUGAAAUGCGUAGAUAUAUGGAGGAAUACCAGUGGCGAAGGCGGCCUCCUGGCUCGACAUUGACGCUGAGGUGCGAAAGCGUGGGGAGCAAACGGG
rnacentral:rRNA from 1 species